UGCAUUAAAUAUUUUAUGUACACUUAAUCUUCAUAACCAUCUUAUGAAGUAGGAAACAUAAAUUCAGAGAGGUUAAGUGACUUAUCCAAAGUCACACAGCUUGUAAGUGGCACAGCUGGGAUUCCAUCAAGCCUGCGCACACCGGCUCUUAACCACAGUGCUCUAACAUGGAAUACGACCUCAAUGCUGCACUGACAGGUAUCUAUUGAGCAUCUGUUGAGUUGCCAGGCUCUGUAAUAGGUGCUAGCUAGUGAAAACAAGUGUGAACAAAGCAGACAGGGUCUCUGACCCCAUAGAGCUUUCAGGCUGGUAGGGAAGACAGGCAGUCCCAAAUGAACACUGAAUUACGGUGGACUUACAAAUGGUCAAGAGCCAUGAAGAAAAAAUACAGGCUGCAAGAGGAUGUGGGACAGGGAGACCUGGGUGUGAGGGGCGAAGGACCCUUUCUGAGGGUCAGAAAUUUAAGCUGAGCCCCUCAGGGCCAAGGGGGAAGGAAAGAAUGUAAGAAUGUUCCCAGUAGAGGAAGUGGCCUAUGCAGAGGACCUGAGGCAAGAAGGUGCUCAGCCUGACCAAGGAACAGAGAAUGCUGGGGUGGCUCGAGCAGGGUAAGUGCAGUGGGGAAGAUGAGGCCAGAGGGCAGUGGGCAGAGCCGCCCAGGAAACCAGGAAGGCUGUGUAUGGAUUUGUGUUUCACCAGGCAUGUGAUGGGAAAGAGUUUGAAGGGUUUCAGCAAGGGAAAUGAUGUGGUCAGAUUUACAUUUUAAAUACAAGGUCUAAAUGCCUGUCACUCUGGCUAUCCAAAAGAGGAUCCAAGGGGAUUCUGGUCACUGGUUAGUGGCUGUCAUAAUCGUCCUGGGAGAGAUGACAGAGCCAGCUCUAGAAAGGUAGGGAGACGAGUUCUGGGGGCAGGGCUGGCAACCUGGGUGAUGGGUUGCACCCGGGAUGAGGGGAGAGGAUGUCUGAGGGGAUCCCCACACCCAGCAGAUGGAGGCAGGGGGGAGAUCAGGUGUGCAUUUGAACACGCUGGGUUCCAAGCGUCUUCUGGUAGCACAUCAGCUGGAUAUACAGGUCUGAGCUGGAGACUAAAUCGUGGGAGGUGGUGGCAUAUUGAUGGCAUUUAAAGCCAUGGGAGGAGAAGAAAUGCCCUAACAAGAAAGAGAUUUACAAGAGAGGGAGGACUGAGACAGACUCCAGAGGAAUGCUACCAUUUAGAGAGCAGUAGAAGACAGGAAGAGCCAGCUCCCAGGACCUGCAGAGCUUGCAUCGGGAUGAAAAGAGCUGCCUCAACUGUCACGAGUGCCCGAUGGGGGCGCAGCAGGGUUUUUAUGAGAGUGAAAUGAGAUCAUGUAUGGAACACACUUGGCAAAGCACCUGGCACGACAGACGCACUCAGACAAUGGUAGAUGUCUCCCCAGUCCCCGUCUUCAAGGUCUUCCUAAGCCCUAACACCCACAACUCUGCCCUUGGGAGGCCAGCCCCCGAGGCUAGGGGACCCAGUGCCUCCCCCUGGGUUUCCUGAAGCAGAGGACUCUCAUGGAGGGGGGGGGGUUGGUCCUAUUCUUCACCCCUAGACCCAGGCCACCAAGAAGGAUCCUGUUCCUUUUCACCCACAUGGAGCCCUGACCCGCUGCAGGAGGGAGCAGGGAGAGUCCUGGCUCUGCCACUCACAGCCAUGUGCAGCUGGACCCUCAGGAUGCUCUACUGUAAAGUAGCAAUGUCUCCCCCUGUGUACCUCACAGGACUUUAUGUAAAACAUGCACAAAACAAGGUGUGCAAAGCAAGAAUAAACGCAAAGACAAGAAUCAAAGCAAAGACAAGACAGAGCACCUCAUCUACUAUAGCGCUGACAUUCGGUGCCCUGUGCAGGUUAAUAUGCUAGUUCUGACCAUCCUGCCCUGGCGCAUGCCUCUCCCCAACCUGGAAUUGCUCCAGCCUUGUCACAUGCCCAGGCUAGCUCUCCUCCUUUCUCUUCCAGAAGCCCUUUCUAGAACUCUCCUCACAACAUCCAGCCAUAUUGCUGACCAGAAUUUAAAAGGGGUUCCCUUGAAAACACCCGUUAGUAAGUAUCAAGAAAAUGAUGGUAAUGACAAUAUCACAAACAAAUGCGGACCAGGCUUGCCCCCACCUCAAGGCCUUUGCACUUGCUGUUCCUUCCCUCUGCCUGGAAUGUUCUUCCCCUGGUUAUCAGCCUGGCUUGAUCUCUUAGCUCUUCAGGUCCAUAUUCAAAUCUCAGUGAAGCAUUCCCUGGCCAAACUAUUUAAAAGUGCGAUCCUGUCUCCCAACAUUCCCUACUUCCGUUUCCUGCUUUUUCUCCACAGCACUUACCAUCUAAAAUACUAUACAUUUUCAUUGUUUAAUUUGUUUAUUUUUUUGAAAGCAACCUCCAUGAAGGAAGAGCUUUUGUUGUUUUGUGUUGUUCAUUGCUAAAUCCCCACCUAGAAUAAUACUUGGCCCCAGAGGGGGUGCUUAAUAAAUAUUUGCUGAGUGAAUAAAUGAGAUAGUUUCAAAGCUCCACUCUGAGGAAACUUUAUAGCUUAAAGGCUUUUACCUAAUAAGAACAAUGAAAAUAGAUGAGCUAAGCAUUCAACUCAAGGACAACAGUCUGCCUUGCCCAGUGCUGUGUUGCCAGCUCCACCUAGCACAGUGACACUGUAGGAGUUCAGUGAAUACUGAAGGACAGUAUAUAAGCAAAGUUAACCUAAAGAGAGCAGGAGGGAAUUGAGACAGCAGAAAUCAGCUUCGAAAGACAAUAGAAUUGGCAGCAACAACAACAAAACUCUAAAAGGAUUAGUUAGGAAAAUGCAUGGCCAUACAUUAUUAAGAUUAUAAAAUAAAUAAGAAU